rnacentral:rRNA from 1 species
GAUGAACGCUAGCGGCGUGCCUAAUGCAUGCAAGUCGAACGGUAGCUUGGGGACCUAGUCCUCAGGUGAGAGUGGCGGACGGGUGCGUAACACGUUGGUGACCUGCCCGGGAGAGGGGGAUAACGCGGCGAAAGCCGUGCUAAUACCCCGGAUGUCGUCCCUGUUAGAGAGGGAUGACUGAAGGCGGCUGAUGGGAAACCAUCAGCGAAUGUGCUCUAGGAGGGGCCUGCGGCCCAUCAGCUAGCUGGUAGGGUAACGGCCUACCAAGGCAAAGACGGGUAGGGGGCGUGAGAGCGCGACCCCCCACACUGGUACUGAAACACGGACCAGAUACCUGCGGGUAGCAGCAGCAAGGAAUAUUGCGCAAUGGACGAAAGUCUGACGCAGCAACGCCGCGUGGAGGACGAAGGUCUUCGGAUUGUAAACUCCUUUUCUGGGGGAAGAACAGGGCGACUUAGGUUGCCCCUUGACGGUACCCCAGGAAGAAGGCCCGGCUAACUACGUGCCAGCAGCCGCGGUAAAACGUAGGGGCCAAGCGUUAUCCGGAAUUACUGGGCGUAAAGCGCGUGCAGGCGGUUCUGAAAGUCGGACGUGAAAGCUCCUGGCCCAACUGGGAGAGGCCGUUCGAAACUAGAGGACUAGAGGAUGGUAGAGGCAAGUGGAAUUCCCGGUGUAGUGGUGAAAUGCGUAGAUAUCGGGAGGAACACCAGCGGCGAAGGCGGCUUGCUGGGCCAUCACUGACGCUCAGACGCGAAAGCCAGGGGAGA